UGUUUAAAAAGGACAGAGAUCAAGAAGAAGUGGCUAUUGAAUCAAUUCAAGCAGUACCAUGAAUAUACGUUCAAGGAAGUGAAUCGAACUGCUGAGAGACGCAGAGUCAAUAAAUAUGAUUUCCACUGUUGCCGUCAUUUAAUAUGUGUCAAAGAGCAGAGUGAUGCUGUUGACCCCAGUGUGAGAAAUGAGAAUUCAUCCAGCAUUCUUCCCCAGAUGAUAUAAGAAAAUACAGAGUUCAAUAAAUACGUGGUGGAUGCCCUCUAGCUAGAUUGACAUGGAAGUAAUACCUGAUGGCCGACACGCUACAGAAUAAUUGCUCCACAAUAAGGUGAAAAAGAAUCUAGGAACAUUAAGAAAGCACUCAGUAAUGAACUUGGUGCUGAAAUUGAGCCAAAUACUAUUGAAAAUCAGAAUAAUGAUGAGCUACUAGGAGACAUAUCACAUGAUGAUGAAGAAAGUAGUAAUGAACGAAGUGAAAGUGAAGAGGGAAAACUUACUGCACCAAUAGAAUUGUUGGGUGAGAUUGCAGUUCUGAUCUACGAACCAGAAAAUACUGAGGCCAAGCAGUUUUUCCACUUCCGGAAGAAAAGGUGUUGAUGGAAGCAGCACAGAAACUUGCCAGUGGGGAGGGUGAAGAUGAUGAAGAAACAAGUGAUGAAAGCCGUGACAGCAACACAGAGUACUAGCUGUUCAAAUAGCAAUGAUGAAGAAAAUGAAAAAAGUUCUGAUGAUUCCGAGGAAAAUUAGUUUGGAGAUUCUACAGUAUUUCAGUUGAUGAUUUUGAUUCUCCAACAGGCAUGUUCAAGUAUACUGUUUAAUCGUAAUUUUUCUUACAAAUUUCAGUAGUCUUUACUAACAUUAUU